UUUCACUGAGGCAAUGUGAUGCAAUCAUUAUAGCUGUAUAAAUAAAUAGAGAGUUGUGUCCUGUCCCAGGAGUUAGAUUUAGUCCAGUAGCAAUUCCAACAUGAAGAUCUUUUAUGUGCUCUUCGCAUGCCUUUUCCUUGCAUCGCUUCUUGAAUCAGCGAGUGCCCAGGACGAUCAAAUUUGUAACCAACGAGGAGGACAAUGCUUUCCUCCUCCCUGUCCUGUUGGCUUCUACUACAUUGGCCAAUGGUAUUGUUCCAAUGCGGUUUGCUGUAAACAACAAUCAUGAAGAAAAUAAUGCCAUCUCCAUCUAUUGCCCUGGAUAACUUCAAUAACUGGCUAAUGACCUGACAUCAAUGUGUGUAAUCACUUUAUCUUUCUUUAUAUAAAUCCAAAUUGCUAUCUAUCAGACUCUGAAAAUGCAUUGAAGUAAAACUUGGCAAUUUUUCUUGAAAUACAGUUAAAUGAGCAUUGUA